GUUUCUGUAGUGUAGUGGUCAUCACGUGCGGUUCACACGCGCAAGGUCCCCAGUUCGAUCCUGGGCGGAAACA
rnacentral:tRNA from 1 species